rnacentral:rRNA from 1 species
GAUGAACGCUGGCGGCGUGCUUAACACAUGCAAGUCGAACGAAGAUGCCGGAGUGCUUGCACUUUGGCAGACUGAGUGGCGGACGGGUGAGUAACGCGUGGGUAACCUGCCUUAUACAGGGGGAUAACAGUUGGAAACGACUGCUAAUACCGCAUAAGCGCACGGUAUCGCAUGAUACAGUGUGAAAAACUCCGGUGGUAUAAGAUGGACCCGCGUCUGAUUAGCUAGUUGGUGAGGUAACGGCCCACCAAGGCGACGAUCAGUAGCCGGCCUGAGAGGGUGAACGGCCACAUUGGGACUGAGACACGGCCCAAACUCCUACGGGAGGCAGCAGUGGGGAAUAUUGCACAAUGGGGGAAACCCUGAUGCAGCGACGCCGCGUGAGUGAUGAAGUAUUUCGGUAUGUAAAACUCUAUCAGCAGGGAAGAUAAUGACGGUACCUGACUAAGAAGCACCGGCUAAAUACGUG